UCGAGAAUCUCUCACAAUGGGGGCAACCCUGAUGGAGCGACGCCGCGUGGAGGAUAAGGUCUUCGGAUUGUAAACUCCUGUCAUGCGAGAACAAGGUACCCGGGUUAAUAACCCGGUUGUUUGAUGGUACCGCAAGAGGAAGAGACGGCUAACUCUGUGCCAGCAGCCGCGGUAAUACAGAGGUCUCAAGCGUUGUUCGGAAUCACUGGGCGUAAAGGGUGCGUAGGCUGCGCCGUAAGUCAGAUGUGAAAGCUCAGGGCUCAACCCUGAAAUUGCAUCCGAUACUGCGGUGCUUGAGAAAUGAAGGGGAGUCUAGAAUUUUCGGUGUAGCAGUGAAAUGCGUAGAUAUCGAAAGGAAUACCAAAGGCGAAGGCAGGACUCUGGGCAUUUUCUGACGCUGAUGCACGAAGGCCAGGGUAGCGAACGG
rnacentral:rRNA from 1 species